GUAAUCCACCUGAAGCUAAGCAGGUUUGGCCCUGAUUGGUACUUGCAUGUGAGACCAACUAGGAACGCUGGCUUGCU
rnacentral:rRNA from 1 species